AAAUGUGACUAUAUUUUUUAUGACUUUCUGUCUGAAAUAUUACUGUUUUUUUAAUCCUUCCUUUUCCAGAUAUAAGGAGUCAUUUUUCUCCUAAGCUAACAAUAACUACAGCAAUUGGUAACAAGAAUUGUAACAUUUCUAAGUAGAAUUGAAACAUUUAUCCUUUUAUCCCUACCUGAUCCCUCCAGAAUUCAGAAAUAUAGUGCAGGAACCUCAGGAUAUUUUGGGAACCUCAAGAAGAGAGGCAUUCACCCAAAUCUACAGGUAUUGCAGAAAUGUCUUAUUAAAUACCUGAUUGCUUGCACUAUUGGCCUAACUUUGGGAGCCCACCCAUAUCACUGCCUACUGAAGUUGAACACUACUGUUUAAUUGGACUGACCUAUGCUCCAAACCGAGAGACUGGUUCAGUGACAUAGAGCACUCUAUCCACCCAACUUCUGGGACAUGAAACUUCUCAGGAAGUUUCAAAGGCAAGACUGAAGGGGUUUAGAACAGGCCUCCUCAAGAUGUGCCACUUUGGCAUGUGGGAUAUUUUGAACUAAAGGCAAUCAAGAUCCUUUGGGCUCAAGAAAAACUUUUACUUCUUUCUUAAAGAAUUCAAACCGAGGGUCUUGCCCAUAAUAAGACUUAUUACAAGAAAUACAUUUUUAUGACCUAUAUGUAUAACAGAGCAAAUCUCCAAAUACUGAACACCUGGUCUUCUUAUCAUCCUAUGAAUUACCCUCUUCCCCUUUGGGCCUUAGGCCUCUACCCCAUUCCUUAGCUCAAGAUGGUAUAUAUACCUCGUUUUACCUUUUUGUCUCUGAAUCUUUCAUAUCUAUGGUGUUCCUGUACAUGUG
rnacentral:lncRNA from 1 species